AGAAUGGGACAGGGCGGGGCGAGAGGAAGACGAAGAGGAGAGGACACGACGACCGGGGCAGAAUAAUGACAAUAAUUACCAUUUAUAUGCAAGUGCCGUCAUUACCUGCACACGAGCAGAGCACGCAUUCAAUUUCGUAUCUAAUUUGAAUAAUUCAAACAAAUCUCUCCUUCCUGCCCUCCUUCCUCUGCACGCUUUAUAAUCCCAAUAAACGCGAUGAGACAUCGACGGCGAGUCGCUCGCUUUUUCAGUACCAGCGACAACGAUGACGACGACGACGACGACGACGACGACGACGACGACGACGACGGUGGCGGUGGCGACGAUUCGUCUCGUAUCCUGAUUUUACCCGUGCGCACCGAAUUACGCGGCGACAGACAGUAUCCCCCUCGCCCCCCACCCCUCCCGCGUUUCAUUCUUUUUAUCGAGCUAACGAGGAACCGCGAAAUAUAUACAGACGACUCUCACUGAUCCGCGGGUCUUUUCUGUGCCGGGCAUGAGCGAUCACGAUCACGCUCCUCAGGCAAGUCAAACUCACUUGCGACAAAUUAGCAUUUCUAAUAAGAAUCUUCGAACAAAGCAUCAACGUGACGUCGAUUCGGCGAAAUUUAUGGAGGGUCCGCAGUCACGCUAGGCGAACCCAUCGCGACCUAUUUGACUGCGGACAUUCGUAAGCUCGAUCUCAUAAUUUUGUCAACAUCGCCGAUGAGCUUCCCGGCAGUCGUAGGCCACGCAGUAGUCGAAAUGACGAUUAUGCAAAUAGAAGCAGCUUGAAUUGCACGAAGCAUUCGAGUACAGGCAAUUACUUCUCAAUGUAAAUCGUUAAAUCAUACGACCGUUGUAUUUUUUCGUACUCAAUUUCACGAUAAUUUCGUCAUGUUUAAUUUUAGCAUAUAUCUGUAUUAUCAUAAUGGUGUAUAAUUUUAACGUAAUAUUUGAUUAUUUGAUUAUCAUAUUAUUACAUAAAAAUAUUACAUACAUUAUAACAAUUAUUGUAAUAAAACGAUGAAGAAAGGUACACGCUAUUUUUCAGAAAUUUUAUUACAAUUAUAUCAGAUAUUAUAUUAGAAUGUAUUAUGUAAGAUAGCAAAAGAGAUGAAAAUUAAAGAUCUGGGUAAGUAAUUUGGCUAUGUUUUAAAUUGGCAUGACCAUUAUUUAAUAUUACGAAUAUUAUUCGUAACAACCUGCAUAUAUACGUUGUGGUUAUAUAAUUAUAAUUUAAAGACUCAUUUUGAACUUACUUUACUGGAAUUCCGAGUUGUAAAGAAUGAUAUAACAGUCCAGUCCAAUGUCUUGAGUUUAAAGCCAAGAGAUAUGAUCAGCGUAAAAAUAGUUUGUUGGUCGAUACUUGAGUGGACACGUUAAUAUUAUAUUACAAAUGUCCAGCAAAACAAAGUAAAAUGGAUUUCGCAAGAAGUAUUCUAAUCUUGAACAUCUCCUUAAUUCCGCGAUAACUGAAAUAUGUCAGCAAUAUAUAGUUGUAAAACUUUUAUUGCAUCUCCAUUUAAAGAAAACUCGUUAAAAAACUAGAAAGAUUACGUUUUAGAGAGCUUCUUUUUUUUCUUAGUGCAGCGAAAAACAGUGGAAGGAGUGAAACUUGGUUUGUUUUUUAUAUCUACGCCUUUGAUUAAUAUCGAACGGUGGGAAUUUUUGUUCUCUAGGAUAUGAAAAAAAAAAAAAUUGGCACCUAUCCAAGGCAUCGCCGGCAACGGCAGUGUGUUUUGCUCGCUCGGUCAUAGCAGCAGCAAAGUGGCCCUAUCAAUAUUAAUCGCGAUAUUUGCCCGGCUUGGUCCUCGUCGCGCUCUCUAUUACCAAUUAAUCCGAUCGUGCGAAGUAUGCUGCAGCGAGCAGCUAGGCCACGGUGCGCGAAAGAGAUAGGAAUAAAAAAGGAAGAGCGACGAGCGCACAAGGUUGGGCGGCAGGGAAGAAGAGAAAGACAAAGAGAGAAAAGGAGAGAAAAAGAGAGAGAGAGAGAGAUGAAUAUGAAAAGAAAGAAAGAGAGAGAAAGAGAGAGAGAGAGAGAAGGACGAGAGAGGGACGAGCCGUCAACGGGUUAGAUAUUGUGUCAGUCGAGUCGUCCAGCAUUAAAAGUAAUUACGACGUGAUUGACCGAGGGCCUGUUGGCCGAGGACGAGGCGACGCCGAGGGGGAAGCUAAAUCAUCGGAGUGACGCACGUAGCUCGUUGCUGCCUCCCAAUUAUACAAUCAGCGAGAGCAAAGCGCGCGAGAGACAUCGAGGGGUGAAGGCGGCGAAAAAGAUACCGAGAGAGGAGAGCGACGCGGCGGAGAUGUCGGUCUCUUGCAACGAGAAGCGAAAAGAGACAAGAGAGAGAGAAAGAGUCAGUGGCGGAAUUACGUCAGGAACGUGGUGGGUAGUCGACGAGAUUGACAAAGAUCGGUGCCAUCGCAAUAAUUGCGCCGCGAAACUGGGCCCAUCAAUCGGGGCCAGUGACAGCCCUCGAACGAGUAUUUACGAGCGACUCUACUCGAUUUCAAAGCGCUUGUCAAAAACCACCAUAAGAUUUCUUUAAUCCUUUAACGAGAGAAUUGUCGGUAUCCGUGAUAUCAUCGUACACGUCGCAUAUUAAGAUUCAUAUUGUUAUACAGUUUUCGUUGUCAUGUUUAAAUGAUUUGCUUAUUUCACAGUACGGACAAUUUGGAUGGAACUGGUAAAUCUCGUGCGAGACGUUUGCCACAUUGCAAUUGGUAAUUUGCGAAAGACUGAUACACGGCGUCAAAUAUUCGAUAUCGUCAACGCGAGAACGUCAGUGUCAUCACUGGGCAAGCUCCGUGGACAAGUGCGAGGAGCAAUCAAGAGUAACGCGAGGAGCGACGGGACUUUGUUCUUCUACGCGAGCUUCUUCUCUCGCCACCGCGACAGAAUAUAUAAUGUAGAACAGAAGAACUGCCAAUAUAAAAAUUUAAAACAAAAUUAAAAAAUUGCCCAAUCGAGACAAAAUUAGCAUGACACUAUCCUCGAUUAAAUUUCAAUAAUUCUGAGUUUGAAAUAUUGCGAUUAAAUCCGUCCCUGGCCUCGAAGUGACUAACAAUAAGGAGAGACGUCGAUGAAGCGACAUGGCCCAUCUGUGAUCGUGAUCGUUAUUGUCUAUUAUAAAGCAGAGUAACUUGGCUCGUUGCAGCUGCUGGUUUGUAAUUUCGUACAUCAAUGAUAAUAUAGCACAAUUCACGAUCUAGAAAAUUAUCAAACGUAACGCAGUUCUAGAUGUAAUCCAGGCGAAUGUGAAUCAAAUACACCGAUAAUAUAGAUAAAAGAUGAGCAUAGACAACAGAAAUUACGUUUUGUUGAUUUUAUCCCGAGUAAUUUGUAGAAUUAUGCAUUAUGUAAUAAAAUAACCAUAUACUUUA